rnacentral:lncRNA from 1 species
UGCACUUUAAAAAAAUGUGUAUUCUGUUGUUGAGAGGCAUGUUCUAUAAAUGUCAGUUAGUUCAAGUUAUUUAGUAGUAGUUUCAUGUCUUUUAUAUCUUCACUGAUUCUCUACUUUUAGGUCUAUUUGGUUUGCUUUAUGUAUAAUAAGUGCUAAAUUCAUCCAAUUAUUCUGUAAUAACUCUAAGUAAUAACUCUUAGCAUCAGACCACUAUUGGUAAGUGCUAUUAUUGUCUCCCCUUGGAUGGUGAGAAAACAUGUGAAAAUAUUUAAUUACUUGCCAAAUGACAUACAACUCAUAUGUGGGCUAGCUGGAAUUUGGACCUAGGCAUUCUGGAAUUUAUACAUGGUAAAAUACUAAUUGAAAUUAGAAUGCUAAGUGAUAUGGUUUGGCUGUGUCCACACAAAUCUCAUCUUGAAUUCCCACAUAUUAUGGGAGGGACCCCAUGGGAGGUGAUUGAAUUACGGGGGUGGGUCUUUCCUGUACUGUUCUUGUGAUAGUGAAUGAGACUCAGAUGAUCUGAUGGUUUAAAAAAAAAAGGAGUUUCUCUUCACAGAACUCUCUUUUGGCCUGCUGCCAUUCACGUUAGAUGUGACUUGCUCCUCCUUGCCUCCUGCCAUGAUUGUGAGGCCUCCCAAGCCAUGUGGAACUAUGGGAGUUUACCUGCACAAAACUCUUUUUUUGCCUGCUACCAUCCACGUUAGAUAUGACUUGCUCCUCCUUGCCUUCCAUCAUGAUUGUGAGGCCUGCCCAGACAUGUGGAACUCUGAUAUAAGUCUUUUGAGGUACAGCCUGGCACAAAAAGGAUGAGAUUUGUGGGCAGAAUUUUGGAAGAAUAUCUCCCGAGAGAACAUUCAGGACAGAUUGCACUGCUUUGGAGAGCUGGUGAUGAAAUCCGGCCAUUGAAUUACACUGCACUAUAAACUUCAUUUGUUCUUGGGUGCAUAGUGAUUUGCUAUAAUAAUGAUCAUCCAUUUGCCAGACAGCUGAGAUUUUUUAAAAGCUUGAUUGCUUUUGGCAUGGCAUUAUUAGUCCUGGAAGAAGGCAGCACAUUUGUAGCAAUUCUCAGCUUGAGCAAACUAGAAUAUUCACCUCCCACAAAUGCUGGCCAUUUAAGAUCUGUGUGUUAGACUUUGGCAUUUUUUCUAGCAAUUCUACAACAGCAUACACACUUUUAUUUUUCAUUAACACCAUUGUGAAUAUGCCCAUCUCUAAAAUUUCAAGGGGGUUCACUUAAGCUACUGAGUUUUAUGGACAGAAGGGCCAAGAAAAGUCCCCAAAGAAGAGUGCAUGCUGUCAAUUGCCAAUUAUUUUUUUUUCUAAUGAAAGCCAAACAAUUCCAGACAAACCCUUUUCUAAGAAAUGAACUACAUAUCUGGAUCCAAAUAAAUACUCAUCUGAUAAGAAUCUAAAAGCUCUACUGAAUUACAGUGGAUGAGAACAUGAUGAUGGUGAUUCUUUGAAGAUUACUGAGGAAAUCAACUCUCAUGUCUGAUUCUGAUACUUUUAUAGUCCAUCCAUGUUGAAAAUGUCUAUGGAAUGAUUCUGUUGUACCUUGAGAAAUGAAAUUCAUAGGCAUGGAUUCUCUCACACAGCAACUUUAUACACAAAGAUGAGAAUAGAAGAAAGGUCAUUUCCAAAGAAAGUGACAUUUAUUCUGUAUUCACUGAAAAGCCAAAAGAAUUUUCUCAUUCACCCAUACCGACAGAGCCCUACAUCUCCCCGAGAAGAGGUGAAAGAGACUGCUCCUAUCUGCUUCUGCAUCAAACUUCAGGCUCAAGACCUGUCCAGAAAAAAAAAUGUCUUCUUUCAGGGAUGAACUGCUGUCCUCAUCAGACGCCUUAUUUUGUUUAGAAUUCAAGCUCACUUGACAGGUUAUUGUGAAGAUUAAAUGAAUUAAUACAUGUGAAGCAACUGUAACAACUCUUGACAUGCGUGGGCUGGACUUCCAGAAGAAACGUUGUCAGAACUCUGCCCAACUGAAAACAAGCCUACUAAAAAUAAAUAAAUAAAUAAAAUUUUAAAAAA